AGUGAACGCUGGCGGUAGGCCUAACACAUGCAAGUCGAACGGCAGCACAGUAAGAGCUUGCUCUUACGGGUGGCGAGUGGCGGACGGGUGAGGAAUACAUCGGAAUCUACUUUUUCGUGGGGGAUAACGUAGGGAAACUCACGCUAAUACCGCAUACGACCUACGGGUGAAAGCAGGGGAUCUUCGGACCUUGCGCGAUCGAAUGAGCCGAUGUGGGAUUAGCUAGUUGGCGGGGUAAAGGCCCACCAAGGCGACGAUCCGUAGCUGGUCUGGGAGGAUGAUCGGCCACACUGGAACUGAGACACGGUCCAGACUCCACGGGAGGCAGCAGUGGGGAAUAUUGGACAAUGGGCGCAAGCCUGAUCCAGCCAUACCGCGUGGGUGAAGAAGGCCUUCGGGUUGUAAAGCCCUUUUGUUGGGAAAGAAAUCCAGCCGGCUAAUACCUGGUUGGGAUGACGGUACCCAAAGAAUAAGCACCGGCUAACUUCGUGCCAGCCGCCGCCGUAACAC
rnacentral:rRNA from 1 species